GACGAACGCUGGCGGCGUGCUUAACACAUGCAAGUCGAACGGAAAGGCCCUGCGUUUGUGGGGUGCUCGAGUGGCGAACGGGUGAGUAACACGUGAGUAACCUGCCCUUGACUUUGGGAUAACUUCAGGAAACUGGGGCUAAUACCGGAUAGGAGCUCCUGCUGCAUGGUGGGGGUUGGAAAGUUUCGGCGGUUGGGGAUGGACUCGCGGCUUAUCAGCUUGUUGGUGAGGUAGUGGCUUACCAAGGCUUUGACGGGUAGCCGGCCUGGGAGGGUGACCGGCCACAUUGGGCCUGAGAUACGGCCCAGACUCCUACGGGAGGCAGCAGUGGGGAAUAUUGCACAAUGGGCGGAAGCCUGAUGCAGCAACGCCGCGUGCGGGAUGACGGCCUUCGGGUUGUAAACCGCUUUCGCCUGUGACGAAGCGUGAGUGACGGUAAUGGGUAAAGAAGCACCGGCUAACUACGUG
rnacentral:rRNA from 1 species